rnacentral:lncRNA from 1 species
AAAGGUCCCAGGCGCUGGAACAAAGGAUUGCUCUCUGAGAAUUGCUGGUAUCAGCAUGAGGAGUUCUGGGGCUGGCUAAGCUGGACACUGAGGCUCUUGCACAUCUCUGGGGAAGACACCUGCUUCUUGAGGAAUUUUGGCUUGGUUUGCAUGAACCAUGAUGUGUCAGAAGGAGAAAGCCUGUGCUCCUAUUAGGAGAAUAGCUGGUCAUAGAGAGAUGAACACUUCAGAAAAGCUGUUGGAGAUUAGCAACUCCUCUGUUGAGGGAACCGUCCUCCCUGACAGAUCCAGAGCAGUGUUUCCCCACAUCAACACUGUCGACGUUGUUGUGGAGUCAUUCUUUGUUGGAGGGGUCAUCGUACACACCAGAGAAUGCCAAGUAGCAUCCCUAACUUCUGUCUAGUUGAUGCCAGUACCACCAAAACCCCCAGUUCUGACAAUCAGAACUGUCUCCAGAUGUUCCUGAAGGACUUCUGUAUAGUAGAUUGGUCUUGGAUGAGAAUGCCGGGGACAGACAACAACACAGGCUCCUUCCAGCCACUGUGUCACUGGGGUGUUAAAGGAAGAAGCAGGAACCAACUGGAGGUCAGAUAUUGGGAGUUCAAAGGCAAGUAAAGGCCAAAUCUGAUAUACAAAGUCAAGUCCAAGCCACCCCCCCGGGAAAAAGGACUGAUACCCACUCAACCACCAUAAACACCAUGUGCCAGGUGUGAGUCAGGACAGACUCCUAGGACCAGGUCAGCUCAGAUGAAGAGCAAAAGAGAGAAGCAGCCUGAAGGCACGCCUGUUGUUGAUCCUAUGGACAUGAAGCACUUGGUAACAAUGACUGGGGAAUUUAAGAAUCCUAUGAAUGCAUCACUAAUAUUCUAAGGUAAGACAAAUAUUCUCAGUCCCUUCAGACAAAAUCAAUUAUGUUGGUUACCUAUUUCUGUUUAACAAAAACUCAGUGGCUUAAAUAAUAAUCCUUUUUACUUCUCCUGGGCUCGUGGGUCUGCUGGAGCUUAUCUGGUUCCUGGUGGACCCCUACGUGCAUCUCCAGUCAUCUGCGGGUCCAGCAGGUGGAUCUGGGGCUCUGAGCCAGAAUCUCUCAUGUGCUUAGCGUAAAUGUAAUGGAAAAUGAACUUUUGAUCUUAAAUGUUACAUUAUGAAGCAUAAAUUACUAUUAUUUGCUACUAAGAUAUCAUUCCCUAGGAAUCACAGUGGUUAGACUCUGCCUGUUCUGCCACCCCCGCUAUCAUUAUGCUGUAAGAAUGACAGUCCCACUUGUCACUCACCAACACUGAUUUAUUUCUCUCAGUUAAUAACCCUUUCUUAAAUGUUAGCUCAAAAAUAACUUUGACCUUUAUCUAGGAGCUAGGUAUAUGGCCAAAAACUCAUUUCUUUUUAUGUAUUCCUGUCACUCAAAUUGUCCUUUCGGUUGUCACACGAACCCCUGCUAACUCAAAAACAUGGCUUUCCUUUCUGAAUUGACAUUCACCCUCAAUCCUAAAUAAUAGUCCAGAAAAUAUAAGAAUGACAACAAAAUAACAAGCAUCUAUUGAAUGCCUAGUGUGUACCAGGCAUUAUCUUGGAUGUUGUACAUGGAUGAAAUCCUUCAAUUUUUACAGUGACUACUACUUAUAGAUAAACUGAGGUAUUCAAAGAAUAAAUGACUCACCCAAAGUCUCUCAGUCAAUAGGGGAAUUUGGAUUUGAACCCCAGGGGUCUGACCUGGAGCCCACAUUUCUAAUCAGUAUGUUAUUGCCUCUGUAAUGAUGACAAAAUUACAGUCAAUUUAGUUUUUAUUUUUUGACAAUCAUUAUUAAGUUAUGAUUUCUUUUAGAAGGGUAAAUUAAAUAUAAGUGCAGUCUUUUGGUAAAACACAUAAUAUUUGUGAACACUUAGAAAUUCAAAGACUGCUGACUUGGCUAAUCCAAGAGAAUAUUAAUUUCUUUCAUUUGCUUUAUGUAGAUAUCACUGUAAGCAAAACAGAAAUUAUUUAGUGUAAUAGAAUCCAAUCUCUGUCUAUAAUAUACCAUAACUUUGCUUCUCCUACAUUGCUCUAAUUGGCUCUGAUCAAACACUUUUCAGUGAUAUGGUGUUAUAUUUGGAUGUUUUAAGAAAUUGAACAGAAAUGGUAUAAGUCAGGGGGAAAAUAAGCUAACAGAGAAGGUAGCAUUUCAUCAGUAGCUUCAUACCAGUCUUCAAUUCAAAUAGAAAUUUAUCCUUUAAGAGAAACAGUUGCUACGGUGGCACAUCCCUGUAAUCCCAGUAACUUGGAGGCUGAGGCAAGAGGAUUGCAAGUUGAAAGCCAGUCAGUUAGCAAGGCCCUAGGCAACUUGGUGAGACCCUGUCUCAAAAUUAAAAAGAAAAGUAUUAAAAGGCUGGGGAUGUGGCUCAAUGGUUAAGCACCCCUGGGUUCAAUCCCUGGUGCCAAAAAAAAAAUUUUUUUAAUAGCUAAUAACCUUCUUCUACUAUUCAAAUAAUUACAGGGAAAUUCUAAGCAGCAGCUAAUAGAGUAGAAUGUGGCCUUUGGGGUUGGGCCAAGGAGAGUGAACAUUGGAACCAGAAAGGAGUGAGAUAAAGACCCACUGUAUGUUGUAAUCAGACAUGGUUAAUGUUUGAUUAUUUUUUUUCUAUACCAGUGGUUGAACCUCGGCCAUGUGUGUGCUAGACAAAUGUUCUAUCACUGAGUUGCACCACCAACCCUUUUAAAAUUUUUACUUUAUUUUGAGACAGUGUCUCACUAAAUUUCCUAGAAUGGCCUCAAAUUUGCAAUUCUCUUGCCUUCUGAGUAACUCCAUUACAGGCAUGCAGCACCAUGCCUAACUUAAUGUUUGAUUUUGAAAACUAUGUGCAUAUUAUUAAACUACUUCUUUGGUCAAAACACAAAUUAAUACAAGUUCAAGGUCAGACCUAAAGAGAGAGAGAGAGAGAGAGAGAGAGAGAGAGAGAGAGAAACAGAUGCUAAAUUGAAAAUUGUUAGGAGAUGAACAAUUUCCACUGUCAGAACAGUUGGGAGCUGGGAGAAGAGCACAUCCAGCAAACCCCCCAGUGAGGGAAGGGAAUCAUCCCUUGGUCACCACACAUGAAAACAUAAAGCAUGGAUUUGAUUAUUAAGACAAAGGCAGCAACGUACUCAUUUGAAAACCCAUUUACAAAUAAUUAAGGAAAAGUAAUUUGGGGAAAAGCAAUCAAUAAAAUUAGCAUCAUCAAAAAAUUGAUUUCUCAUAGAGAAAGAGCAUUAAGAAAAUUGAGGGUGAAAUACAUCUUAUUAUAAACUUAAAAUUUAUGAUUAUUUACAUUCUUAAAACAAGCUCUUUGUUGCCGUUUAACACAUCCUUGGAACAUCACAAGUCCUAUGUGCACAUUACAAUAAAUAAUCACAAUAUGGGAUAUCCAGGCAACCACCCCCUCUGCCAAGGAAUAGAACACUCUCACAGCAGGUUCAAGUCCCCCCAAUCAGUGCCCAAGUUUUUUCCCAAAGACAACCCCUCUCCUGGCCUUUACUACCACGGAAUAGUUCCUCUUCUAUUUUUUUUCCAAGCUUCUUAUAAAUGGUGACUCUCGUGGUACAAUGUUCUUUCCUGUUCGAGUGCCUUCAUUGGACCCUGUGUUUGUGAGGUCUCUCCAGGUUGUUUCCUGGUACAGUGGUUCCUCACGGUCAUGGCUCCAUCCAAGUCCACUGCAGGAACUUACUAAAGUCUAGCCGUUCUGCUGUUGACGGACAGAGGGCUGCUUGCAGUUUAAGAGCACUGUGACCAGAACCACUAGAACAUUCUCGUCUGUGUUUGCUGCUGCGACCACUACCCAUCUGCACUGGGCAUGGAAUUGCUGGAGCGGGAAAGGAGUCUUGAAUGGAGAAUGACAGUGUUUUCCAGAGUAAUAGCACCAAUGUCCCCUCUCAGCAGACAUUGGGUCGCUGUUGCUCUUUAUCCAGCCACUGCUUUCAUUUUAACUGAGUGGCAAGUUGAUUACACAACAAAUAAUCACUUGCAUUGUUAUAUUUAUUCUUUGACAGCAUCUGUUUACCAAGUAUUUUCUGGUAUGAAAAUACUUAGUUUAUUACAACCAUACAUCUGUAUUAGUACAAGGGACAGUUACCUGCCACUGCGACUCUGAGUUUCCAAUAUGUUCCACAUUCUAAUUAUUUCUAUCCUCCCCAGCUUCAUCAUCACCCCACUCAAAGAGAAAUUCAAAUAUUUCCUCCUACUCACCCUACCACCUUCACGCCAUAGCCCUUUGAUUAUCUGCAUGUCGAGUUUGGUCUCGAAAUUCGUCACGUGAGCCUUCUCCACCUACCAUCUGUAUAUCAAAUGUGACAUCCCACUCCUUCCCAAACGACGCAGUAUCACCUGUCAUUCAUUCACUGGUUCCAACAACAGCCAUUUGUGCAACAUCUUCAGUGUGCUCGUCACCAGCUAGCACUGCAGGUGAACUCUGUCCCCAAGGAGGCUGCAGGUCAGCAGGGGAAGCAGAUGUUGUCAGAAACAAGUAUAAGAAGUCAUUAUGUAAUAACUAGCACAGACGUGAAGAAGAGGGGUCAGUUUGAGAAGAAAUACAACAGAUACGACUUCUGCCAAGUCAGAAUUGUCUUCUCUGACCCACCAGGAGGCUAGAGAGUGCCUGGACAUGACAAGAAUGGAGCAGGCCUCCUGAAGCUGUAUCAGAAGAGCGCUCAUGUGACCACCACCCCCACACCCAGAGAAACUCAGAGGUAAAGCCAAGGGGCCGCCAAGAUCCCAGAUCUGGAUGAAAUUUACAUCAGGAAGACUGGGUAAGGCGUCUGCCCUCCUCACACAGCUCAUAAUAGCUCUAACGCCCACUUUGAU